CGGCCGCGGCGGACACUUCCCUGGGAGGGACCGUCCCGUGGCACCCGGUGGAACCGAGGAGAACGUGGAGCGCCGGGAGCAGCGAAUAUGGACGACUGCAGCCUGGAUGAGUUCCGUCGGCGCUGGCUGGAGGAGCUGGCGCAGGCCCAGGCGCCGAGGAAGCGGCGACGGCCCGAGGCUGCCGAGAGGCGGGCUCGGCGGCCAGAGGUGGUCCCUGGGCGCGGCGAACAGGCCUCGGGGGACUCGGCGCUGGCCCAGGGUCUCCUGGAGGGCGCGGGGAGGCCCCCGGCAGCGCGGGCGACUCGGACCGAGGGGCAGGACGUGGCGAGCCGCUCCCGUUCUCCUCUGGCCCGCGAGGGUGCCGGGGGCGGGGAGCAGCUGGUGGACCAGCUCAUCCGCGACCUGAAUGAAAUGAAUGAUGUGCCUUUCUUUGAUAUCCAACUGCCUUAUGAACUGGCAAUCAAUAUAUUUCAGUAUCUGAACAGGAAAGAACUAGGAAGAUGUGCACAGGUGAGCAAGACGUGGAAGGUGAUUGCGGAGGAUGAGGUGCUGUGGUACAGGCUGUGCCAGCAGGAAGGGCACCUUCCGGAUAGCAGCAUCUCUGACUAUUCUUGCUGGAAGCUCAUCUUCCAAGAGUGCCGAGCGAAGGAACACAUGUUACGAACCAACUGGAAGAAUCGCAAAGGUGCCGUGAGCGAGCUGGAGCACAUUCCUGACGCGGUUUUGUGUGAUGUGCAUUCUCACGAUGGCGUGGUCAUUGCUGGAUAUACAUCAGGGGACGUGAGAGUGUGGGACACCCGCACCUGGGACUACGUAGCCCCCUUCCUGGAAUCAGAGGACGAGGAGGACGAGCCUGGAAUGCAGCCAAAUGUCUCCUUUGUGAGGAUAAACAGCUCGCUGGCAGUAGCAGCUUAUGAGGAUGGGUUUCUUAAUAUUUGGGAUUUAAGGACCGGAAAGUACCCUGUUCAUCGUUUUGAACAUGAUGCAAGAAUACAGGCACUAGCCCUCAGCCAGGACGAUGCAACUGUGGCCACAGCCUCUGCUUUUGAUGUUGUGAUGCUGUCCCCCGGUGAGGACGGGUACUGGCAGAUAGCUGCGGAAUUUGAAGUUCCGAAACUGGUUCAGUACCUUGAAAUGGUUCCAGAAACUGGAAGGUACCCUGUGGCAGUAGCCGCUGCUGGAGAUCUGAUGUACCUGCUCAAAGCCGAAGACUCCGCCAGAACCCUCCUUUACGCCCACGGCCCGCCUGUCACAUGUCUAGACGUCUCUGCCAACGAAGUUGCUUUUGGUGUACAGGGCCUGGGAUGGGUGUACGAAGGAAGCAAGAUCCUGGUAUAUAGCCUGGAAGCAGGACGCCGCCUCUUGAAGCUGGGUAACGUUCUCCGUGACUUCACAUGUGUCAACCUCAGCGACAGCCCUCCCAACCUCAUGGUCAGUGGCAACAUGGACGGGAGGGUGAGGAUCCAUGACGUCCGCAGCGGUAACGUCGCCCUGUCGCUCUCUGCCCACCAGCUUGGGGUCUCUGCCGUGCAGAUGGACGACUGGAAGGUCGUCAGCGGAGGCGAGGAAGGCCUGGUGUCCGUGUGGGAUUAUCGGACGAACCAAAAGCUGUGGGAGGUGUAUUCUGGGCCUCGAACUGGAGAUCCUGUCUUUGAGACAGGUGGGGAUAAAGACAACUGGCCCUCUCCCUCGCUGCCCCUCAACACUGCUGUGAAGAGACAUUCGGCCAGGCAUGGUGGCUCACCUGUAAUCCCAGCUACUCAGGAGACUGAGGAGCUCUGAAGGCCAGGGGUUUGAGACUGGCCUGGGCAACCCAGGGAGACCCUGCCUCUUUCAAAAUUCUCCAGGCAUGGUGGUGUGCACCUCUAGUCCCAGUGACUCAGGAGGCUGACGGGAGGAUUGCUCCAUGGAGCGCAGGGGUUUGAGGCUGCACGGACUGUGCCACUGUACUCCAGCCUGGGUGACAGAAUGAAACCCCAUCUCUACAAAAACAAGAUGAUUCUGGUCCGGUGGCCUAUGAGCAUGACAACAUAGAAGAGCAGAAACAGGGCAAGGCCCUCGCAGUGAACUCAGAUUUGUUCCCCACUUACUGCGAAUCAAGGUGAACCGACCUCUGAGCAGCGACCUGCUCUUUCUGCAAGGCCGGCAGUUUGCCAGGCGUCUCCAAGAGGCGGCAGGGUUACAUGCAGAACGGGCUUCUUCCUCGGAGGGCGCUGUUGGCGAACACUGUGGCUGGCAGAUUUUAUCAGACAGAGCCCUGGGUACUGCCUAGGCCCACCCCCUCGCUGUGUCCCUGUCCCUGUAGCCUGGGCCCUUUUUCUGACUUCCAUGCUGAUGCACUGAAUUGCCACCAGGUGGUGCCAAAUGGCAACUAAAACUCCUGCACCGAAAUUCCCGGAAGCAUUUGCCUUUGAGGAAAACUCAGUAUGUGUUUUAAAGCGUUGCUGGAUCAGCCAUCCAGGCAGGUCCUCAGGGAUAGCCACCGGCCCCACACUCCAGCAGAUCUCAUUUUUCUCUCUGCAAAGCUUCACCCCCGGGACAGGCCACUGAGAUGAAGCCUAGGUAAGGAAGGCCUUCCCCAGAGGUGUGGCCCUGUCCCAGCACUGCCUCUGUCCCUGUGCGACCCGGGCUUCUCCCCCAUGCGGUCACUGUUUUCACCAGCACAAGGCUGACGGACACACGGUCUCCUGCCCAGAACUCACUGACCUACUCAAGGCCUCACCUGCAGUGCCUGCUGCCAGGCCUCAGUCUCUUCAGCCCAGGUCCUCGCCUGCCUGACAGGGUGCCAUCAGUCUGUCAUGCUGCAGGCCUCCACUAAGCCUGCCCUCCCUCUGCGGGUCCUUCUCAUCCUCCAGGCCCCAUGCCAAAUCCACCACCACUUUCCUGCUGUGGGUGUCCCAACCCCGGGGAGGUAGGGACUGCUCCCUAGCUUCCCUCACUCCCAAGAACCCUCUGCUUUCGUCAAGGAGAGCAGCCCUGGCCCAGCCCACACAGGCCUCGUCCCCUCCUGUGCACCCCUCCCAACAGACCCUUUCAGCCCUCCUCCCCUCCCAGCACUUAAUUCUGCGUCAUGCAGUCUUUGUAGCUUGUAACUUCGCUUGUGCUACAGAAGCGUUAGUCACAUUUUCUGGGACUGCAUCUUACCUUCUUCACUAGCUAGGGCCCUCCCUGGGUCAGGCAUCCACCUGGAUGAGGCAUCUUUUUAAUUCAGUGUCUCCUAGCUCAGUGCCGUGACCACAGCAGGUACUGCACGAAAGUUUCAGAACAAACGCAAACCUCUGUUCAACAGACUUGGAGCCAUUUUGUUCCAGGAUUUCCCAAACGUGCUUUCACCACCCAGGGGACGUGUGUCAUCGCAGCCCUGUGAGCCGGAUCGGGGGCGCCUUCAUGGAUCAACAGUGAACAUGCCCCCGGUGCUCUACAGAUGAUGGAGCGCCUGGCUGGGAGAGCCCAAGGGACUUGCCCAGGGAGGCAGCGAUGGACCAGUCUCUGUUGCACGUGGUUGAUUCAUCUCCAGUAGGGUGUGUCCUCUAUGUCUGGAAUGUACCAGGUUGUUGGGGCAGAUGCCAAGAUGCCAGCAUGCGUAUGGGGCAUGCAGACCUAUUUACAAAGCCAUGCCCGAAGCAUGGCCUGCUCACCUGAGCUUUGGGAGCUGAGGUGAGACACUGCUUCCAUGGGGGCCUGUGUUCCCUCUGAAAGAGAAGCUUAGCUUUAUGGAGUCUAGAAUCCCCUGCAGCUCUGAACUCCCAGGUCUGUGGCAGCAAGUGCAGGCUGUGCGCAGGCCCAGUGGAUGCCCCCUUACGAGCUCUCUCCCGCUGCCUUCCAGACACCCCGUGCAGCACAUCUCAUUCAGCAGCCACAGCCUCAUCACGGCCAACGUGCCCUACCAGACGGUGAUGCGAAAAGCCGACUGGGACAGCUUCACUACUCACAGGAGGAAUUGGGAACAUAAGCAUCAAUGCUGACCUGUACUGAG